ensembl:misc_RNA 7SK 7SK RNA
GGAUUUGAGGGAGAUCUGGCUACGACAUCUGUCACCCCAUUGAUCACCAGGGUUAAUUCAGAUGAUCUGGCUGGUUAGGUGGGUGUCCCCUUCCUCCCUCACCGCUCCAUGUGCGUCUCUCCUGAAGCUGCGCAUUUGGUCAAGAAGAUGGCCUUCCCAGAAUAGAGACAGACCAGUCUUCAGUGGAGGGUAUUGAGUAGCUGCACUCCCCUGCCAGACCUCCCAACAAGCUCUCAAGAAGGUGAAUUCACCAUGAGCCUGAGACUUUGGAGCCUCAGGAAUACAAGUCACUUUGCAUAACCAUUAUGCCAU